AACUUUAUUUAUUCUACCUUCAAAAUUUUCUACCUACAAUAGUAGUAAGUCCAUCGCCAAUUUCAGUUUUAUUUUUUUUGCUUAUACAUUUCCAAAAACUAGAUUUGUCGCAGCUGGAGUCUGAUCAAGUAUUGAUUUCAUUAUUUUCCCGAUUUCAUGUCGUCGAUAAGGCACACUAUUUAAAUAUUCAUAAUGUAACAACACCGCAGCUGCUAUCCAGACGCAAACGAGUAUCUUCUCGGUUCGUAGGACUACAUACCCCCUACCCCCUUCUCCCCCCGGGUGAACGUAACCGCAGACGACGGCGAAAAACUCGUACGCCAUUUAUUUACAAUAUACAGAACGUCAUUGGACAACACAAAAAAUCAAUUUGCCCGUACUUUUACGGUAUAUAAUAUCAUAUCAUGUCAUCCGGGACACUGCCAUCCAGCACCAUU